AAAAUUUGUCUCAUCAGUGUCUUCUUUGGUUUGUUAGCUUUACGUUGGUCGGGCAUGAUUUCACGGGUAACCUUUGGUAGGUUGCCUGGCCACAAAGCACUUUCAAAAUGGCGGAUAUCUCGAAAGUUAGCUUCGCUCUAGGCUCUGCAUGAUGGGGUAUGAUUUUGGUACAUUUUGACGUGCUCUAGAUAGGUCAGGGCUUGAUAUAACCACGCCAAGGGUUACCGAAAGGAAACCCGUCACUCCAGGAGAUUACGCACAAGAUCAUCAUAAAUAAUCUCCGCCAUGCGGUCAUAGCCCUGCGGUCUCAAGUGGAGCCCAGUCUCCCAGAAGAAAUUUCUCUUCUCGUUCCCCAUGGAAUACCUUGGCAGCAUAAUGGCCAGGUCGCUAAGCACAGCCGCGCCUGUUUCCACAGCAUACCGCCGCAGCCGCUCGUUGACGUAUUUCCUCUCCUCACGUGUCUUGUGGCAAUACUCGUUGACAGUUUCCUCGCAAUCCGUUUCCGGUAUGGUGACCACUACGGUGUUGAAGCCUCGUUUGUGUGCCUCGCGAUGAGCUGCGAUGAUGUCAUGUACUAUUUUGUCCCAGUUCUUCUCGGUUGAGUCGCGUUUGUCGUGGAUGAUGUCAUUAGUUCCUCCAAGGAUGAUUACCCAUGAGUACCACUUGGUAACUAAAUGCACAAAUAGUGUUAAAUCACCAAUUAAAGUGGUUUUCAAAAUCCCGUGCAACAAAAUGUAAUUGUUUAAGUGUAAUAUGCAUACCAGAGCACAUGAGAACAAAGACAUUACAGUGUAUUAGUACUAAAUAAACUAAAUAGUAUUUCACGGAUUUUUGAAAACCACUCUACCACCCCUAGGUAAAUAGAUGCAUAAAUAGUUUGUUCAAGUACUUCUCCGUCAUAAUGCUCAUGGCUGACAUACCUUUGUUCGAGUACUUCUCCGUCAAAAUGCUCAUGGCUGACAUACCUUUGUUCGAGUACUUCUCCGUCAUAAUGCUCAUGGCUGACAUACCUUUGUUCCAGUACUUCUCCGUCAUAAUGCUCAUGGCUGACAUACCUUUGUUAAAGUACUUCUCCGUCAAAAUGCUCAUGGCUGACAUACCUUUGUUCAAGUAGUGCUUAAGUCUCUUAGUCAUGCUUGCCGCAGUCUCCUGGUCCUUGCCCUGAUUAUCGAUGAUGUAGCACUUAUGGGAGUCUUUGUUUAAUAGAAACUCGAGCUUGCUGGUGUAUGGGUGGUAGGAGCCACUUCCCCCGUAGAAGCCUUUAGUAAGGCUGUCACCGAAUGCGAGUAUGCGCACAGCCUCCAUACCUGAUAUUCAUAAAACCGUUCAUUUUCUUAAGCCUAGAAAAACUAUAGACAAGCUGAAGAAUUUUAAUUAAAAUUAGGUGAUCUGGGUAGUCUUAAAAAGUGGAUUCAAAAUAAAUCAACAUAAGGUUGAAAUGGUAUAU